rnacentral:rRNA from 1 species
UACGUAGGUGACAAGCGUUGUCCGGAUUUACUGGGCGUAAAGAGCGCGCAGGCGGUCGAUCAAGUCGAGUGUGAAAGCCCCCGGCUCAACUGGGGAGGGUCAUUCGAUACUGAUCGACUCGAAGGCAGGAGAGGGUAGUGGAAUUCCCGGUGUAGUGGUGAAAUGCGUAGAUAUCGGGAGGAACACCAGUGGCGAAGGCGACUACCUGGCCUGUUCUUGACGCUGAGGCGCGAAAGCUAGGGAGCAACGGG